CGGAAGCGUUGCUAAGGGAGCCUAGCAACCACGGCGGGGCUUGCUGGAAGCGUAGGCCGUGAAGGCUCCCAACAGUAAAUACUGACUCUGAGGAAAACCUAUCCGUGCGGUUUCUUCUAGAGUGGAGUGUGUGUAACUCGCACAGGUUUCCGUGAACGAACAGGGAAUCGAAGUAUGGUCUUUAGUCCUAGUCCAACGCUCAGAUUCUACAUGAGUAUAAAGACAAGGGCUGCAAUGCUUUAUGCACACCUUGGAAAAUAAAGCCGUGGUAGAAGGAAA